AAUCGGACGGGCGCUGAGCCAAGCUGCUCCGGGGAGGCGGCAGGCGCGGGGCGCCCUCGGGCGGCGAAGCAUCGCCGGACUCCGCGCAAAGGCCACCUGCAGCUGGAGCCCAGCGGCUACCAACCCGCCAGACCCGGCCCGGCUUCAGGGAAAGGGGCAAGGCCAGAGGCCUACAGUGGUGGUUUAAGCUGAGGCUUUAAAUGAAGGUUUCCUAUCUGCUGAUUUCAGUCGCUCUGAUUCAAAUCAAUUCACCCGACAGCGACAGCUGCCCCUCACCCCCGGCCCGGCAGCUCCAUUCACAACCCAUCAGUGACCAGAUCCUCAGCCCCCUACCUUGGGAGGCAGCAACCAUCAUUCCCACGGGUAAUGGAGAAAUGGCACUAGGUCACUUCUGGCAGUUGGGGGACUAGAACCCCUGUCCCCAGCAAUGCAGCGUGAUGCUCCCCAAGGGCACCCAAGGUUGGGCAGCACCUCACCCCCACCUGCCCUUAGCACAAAGCAGUCUUGUCUGGUCCUGCUGUGGAUCAGCUCCCUGAACCCACCAGCCUCUGACAACACAAUCACUGCCUGCCAGGCCCCCACAGGCCUUGUCCUCUCUGUAUCAGUAACACCAGGCCCACACCAACCCCGAAUCCUCAGAGCGUUCCCUGCCACGUCCAGCCCCUGGCCCCCCUCAGACUGACCAUGCUGGCUGUUCCCCAAAGGACCAGGACACCCCAGUUGAACACACAGCCCUUUGAUACGUUACUAGUGAAAACAAGGGCACGUUUAUCAUCAGAGAUUCAGGGGAUGGUGAUAAGAACCCUGGAAACAAAUGGUUACGUGUAAAACAAACUGUAAGGUGCUUUCUUGAGACUGAGCCUGGCAGGUUACGCACUCCCUGAAGAAGUUCAUCUCACCCCAAAUCCUCCGCCGUCUUCUCAAGCCAGGUUGGCUGAGACCCUGCUUCCAAAUGCGCCUCCAUCCCCGUCCUGGGCGCAGAACCCCCGUGUGUCUCCUCUGCCUUUGAGACACACACCCCGAGUUCACCGGCUUUACCCACGGCCCGGACAAGCCCCUGGGCCGGGUGUUUCCUGUGUGCUCCGUUCCUACUGACCUCGGGUCUCCUCAGUAACAUUUGACUUCGUAUGUGAAUGGGCAGAAUUUACAGCCCAACAGAGAGACAGGAUCCUCUCCUCCUGCCCAGAGGCGGCACCUUUUGGAGACCACUUUGACCUCUCCAGCUUAAGAGCACAAUUGGCUGGCCCAGACCCAUAGCUCCUGCGCCGUGUGUGUGAGACACGUCACAGGGAUGUUGACCAGCGUGACCCCGGCUUUCGGAUCCCAGAGCUGCCGCAAUCCAGCAGCUGGUUCCAGGGGACAUGCGCCAGCCAGACGACUGUGGAUCGCUGGCUUUGCAGCAGGAAUCGCAGCUGGAAAAGCCCCUCGGACAGGAGAACAGACAGCCUCAAUCCACUGCCCACACUCUCGUUAUUGGGUCAUGUUUUCUGGGACCAACCUUCGGUGCCUUCAGCACCCCUGUAUCACGCCAUGAGCCCCCGGCAGGGAAUCCCCCUGGACUGGAUGCCUGGGAAGGACUUACACAUCCAAGGGAAAAAUGCACCCCCCCAAUUUCCGUAGACUGGAGUGACUCUCAGCCAGCGCUGUAAAACAGAAGGGUUUAUUAGAUGUCUGGAACACAGUGUAGGAAGUUCUUAGUUCACAUACAGAGUUACAGCAUAGUCCAUCCAGGCCAGUCCUGAGCCCUCUGACCUCCAGUCCAGAAGAAGGAAUCCUGCUUCCAGCCUACACUAACAACUCAACUGACCCCUCCUUCAUCCUUUGUUCUCCAGUUGGUCACUACUGUCUGGCUUCCCCGCAGAGGAUGGGCGACCCAUGGUCGUUAGUAGCCAGGUACCAAAGGGCUGUGCAGUUGGAGUGGCCAUUGUCCUCUCCAGGCCCCAGAAUCAUAGAAUAUCAGGGUUGGACCUCAGGAGGUCAUCUAGUCCAACCCCCUGCUCAAAGCAGGACCAAUCCCCAAUUAAAUCAUCCCAGCCAGGGCUCUGUCAAGUCUGACCUUAAAAACCUCCCUGGUCUACACUAGGACUUUAGGUCGAAUUUAGCAGCGUUAAAUCGAUGUAAACCUGCACCCGUCCACACAAUGAAGCCUUUUAUUUCGACUUAAAGGGCUCUUAAAAUUGAUUUCCUUACUCCACCCCUGACAAGUGGAUUAGCGCUUAAAUCGACCUUGCCGGCUCGAAUUUGGGGAACUGUGGACACAAUUCGAUGGUAUUGGCCUCCGGGAGCUAUCCCAGAGUGCUCCAUUGUGACCGCUCUGGACAGCACUCUCAACUCAGAUGCACUGGCCAGGUAGACAGGAAAAGAACCGUGAACUUUUAAAUUUCAUUUCCUGUUUGGCCAGCGUGGCAAGCUGCAGGUGACCAUGCAGAGCUCAUCAGCAGAGGUGACCAUGAUGGAGUCCCAGAAUCGCAAAAGAGCUCCAGCAUGGACCGAACGGGAGGUACGGGAUCUGAUCGCUGUUUGGGGAGAGGAAUCUGUGCUAUCAGAACUCCGUUCCAGUUUUCGAAAUGCCAAAACCUUUGUCAAAAUCUCCCAGGGCAUGAAGGACAGAGGCCAUAACAGGGACCCGAAGCAGUGCCACGUGAAACUGAAGGAGCUGAGGAAAGCCUACCAGAAAACCAGAGAGGCGAACGGCCGCUCCGGGUCAGAGCCCCAAACGUGCCGCUUCUAUGAUGAGCUGCAUGCCAUUUUAGGGGGUUCAGCCACCACUACCCCAGCCGUGUUGUUUGACUCCUUCAAUGGAGAUGGAGGCAAUACGGAAGCAGGUUUUUGGGGACGAAGAAGAAGAUGAUGAUGAUGAUGAGGUUGUAGAUAGCUCACAGCAAGCAAGCGGAGAAACCGGUUUUCCCGACAGCCAGGAACUGUUUCUCACCCUGGACCUGGAGCCAGUACCCCCCGAACCCACCCAAGGCUGCCUCCUGGACCCAGCAGGCGGAGAAGAGACCUCUGCUGCAUGUGUUUCAAUGAUCACAGGAUCUUCUCCUUCCCAGAGGCUAGUGAAGCUUAGAAAGAAAAAAAAACGCACUCGCAAUGAAAUGUUCUCCGAGCUCAUGCUGUCCUCCCACAGUGACAGAGCACAGACGAAUGCGUGGAGGCAAAUAAUGUCAGAGUGCAGGAAAGCACAAAAUGACCGGGAGGAGAGGUGGCGGGCUGAAGAGAGUAAGUGGCGGGCUGAAGAGAGGGCUGAAGCUCAAAUGUGGCAGCAGUGUGAUGAGAGGAGGCAGGAUUCAAUGCUGAGGCUGCUGGAGGACCAAACCAGUAUGCUCCAGUGUAUGGUUGAGCUGCAGCAAAGGCAGCUGGAGCACAGACUGCCACUGCAGCCCCUCUGUAAUCAACUGCCCUCCUCCCCAAGUUCCAUAGCCUCCACACCCAGACGCCCAAGAACGCGGUGGGGGGGCCUCCAGCCAACCAGCCACUCCACCACAG